rnacentral:tRNA from 1 species
GCCGGGGUGGCGGAAUCGGCAGACGCUACGGACUUAAAAUCCGUUGGGCUUCAAACGCCCGUGAGGGUUCAAGUCCCUCUCCCGGCACCA